UACGGAGGGUGCGAGCGUUGUCCGGAAUCACUGGGCGUAAAGGGCGCGUAGGCGGCCUGGUAAGUAGGGGGUGAAAUCUUGCGGCUUAACCGCAAGGCUGCCUUCUAAACUGUCAGGCUAGAGCACAGUAGAGGCAGGUGGAAUUCCCGGUGUAGCGGUGGAAUGCGUAGAGAUCGGGAAGAACAUCAGUGGCGAAGGCGGCCUGCUGGGCUGUUGCUGACGCUGAGGCGCGACAGCGUGGGGAGCGAACAGG
rnacentral:rRNA from 1 species